GAUGAACGCUGGCGGCGUGCCUAAUACAUGCAAGUCGAGCGAACAGACGAGGAGCUUGCUCCUUUGACGUUAGCGGCGGACGGGUGAGUAACACGUGGGUAACUGACCUAUAAGACUGAGAUAAGUUCGGGAAACCGGAUCUAACACCGGAUAAUAUUUCGAACCGCAUGGUUCGAUAGUGAAAGAUGGCUUUGCUAACACUUAUAGGUGGACCUUGGCCGUAUUAGCUAGGUGGUAGGGUAACGGCCUACCAAGGCGACGAUACGUAGCCGACCUGAGAGGGGGAGCAGUCACACUGGAACUGAGACACGGUCCAGACUCCUACGGGAGGCAGCAGUGGGGAAUAUUGCACAAUGGGCGAAAGCCUGAUCGAGCCAUGCCGCGGGUGUGAAGAAGGUCUUCGGAUUGUAAAGCACUUUAAGUUGGGAGAAAGGAAAGUAAGUUAAUACCUUGCUGUUUUGACGUUACCAACAGAAUAAGCCCCGGCUAACUUCGUG
rnacentral:rRNA from 1 species